CUCAUUCGUAAUCGUAUAUUUGGCCUUCUUCUGAGGAAGGAGAGAAACGCAGAGUCGAGAGUUGAGAGUGGAAGUGAUGAUGUUAUUUCGAUCAAUUUGCAAACUUUUCAAUACCUCCCGUCUUUCUGCCUAUCAAUUAUACUCAACAAAAUCACUGAUUUCUUCUUUUCAUUCUUUCGAUGAACUCGAAGCUAAAAUAGUCCAGGAUAAUCGGGACCCCACAACCCCAGUGACCUCCAUUCUCAACCAAUGGGUUCAAGAUGGCGGAUCCAUCACUCACGAAAAUAUCCGAUAUCUCAUCGCAUGCCUCUGUCGGAGACGUUGCUAUACGCACGCCCUUGAGUUAUCAGAAUGGAUGCGUGAGUCAGAAAAAUAUGACUUGACCUCAGCAGACAUCUCAAAUUGCUAUCGAUAGUUCGUGGCCUUGAACAAACUGAGAACUUCUACCAAGACAUUCCUAAUUCCCGAAUUAAAUUCAAGAUAAAUGUUGCCUCGCGGAAUGCUAUGCAGAGCAUAAAUCUUUGGAGAAAGUGGAGGCUCCGAUGAAGAAAAUCAGGGAGAUUUAUCCCAUGUCCUCCCCCAUGUGUUACAAUAAGAUGUUGAAACUGUAUGCAGAGUUAGGCAAAUAUGAGAAAUUGGAUAGCCUAAUGCAAGAAAUGAUGGAAAAGGACCUACGCGAGCCUGGUACAUAUACUAUUCUCUUGAAUGCACAUGUUGUUGCUGCAGACAUACAAGGGAUAGACAAGUAACUAAUCAGGAUGGAAGUUGAUCCUCUGGUAACUGUUAGUUGGCGUACCUACGCAGAAAAACGGUUAUCUGAAAGGUGGCAAUGUCGAGAAGGCCUUGUCAGCACUGAAGAAAUCAGAGCAGCUAGCUUUAGGCAACCCUGUUGCCUGUUUAUCUAUUCUAACUAUAUAUGCUGGUAUUGGUAAUAAGGCUAAGGUUUAUGGAAUUUGGGGGAAGUGCAAACUCAGGAAGCGAUUUUACAACCAAGGUCACUUGUUAAUGUUAAGCUCUUUGGUGAAGUUAGGUGACAUUUUUGGAGCUGAGAAGAUCAUGGAAGAAUGGGAGUCCAAUUACAAAGUUUUCGAUACCAGAAUUCCACAUCUUAUGAUCCAUAGUUAUUGUAAAUUGGGUAUGUUGGAUAAGGCUGAGGCUUGUAUCAAGAGGCUUUUGGAUAGCGGCAAGCAAUUGCAAGCGUCUACAUGGGAAAGUUUGGCAGAACACUACUGCGCGGAUAAUAAUAUGGAGAAAGCAGUUCAAGCAAUGAAAGACUAUUCUUGAUGUGUUACUAAUUUGAUUAUUAAAAAUUUAUU